ACCUACGGGAGGCAGCAGUAGGGAAUUUUCGUCAAUGGGCGCAAGCCUGAACGAGCCAAGUCGCGUGAAGGAUGACGGCCCUACGGGUUGUAAACUUCUUUUGUCAGGGAGCAAUUGGGUCAACGUGUGGGCUUAGCGAGAGUACCUGAAGAAAAAGCAUCGGCUAACUCCGUGCCAGCAGCCGCGGUAAUACGGAGGAUGCGAGCGUUAUCCGGAUUUAUUGGGUUUAAAGGGUGCGUAGGCGGAAUAUCAAGUCAGCGGUCAAAAUUCGGGGCUCAACACCGUCGUGCCGGUGAGACUGAGGG
rnacentral:rRNA from 1 species